CUCAUUUGUUAAACAUGAUGUUUGGGCUAGAUGCCCCAAGGUCCCUUCCAGCUUGGAGACUGUGGUCCUAUCCAGUUCUAUGUAAGGUUCACCAUAUGCUUUUCCCACCACCACCCUCUGAGACAGGGACAAGGUCCCCAGCAUAGUUCUGCUGUAGAAGGCCAAUUCCCUGAGGAGACGGCUGACAUUAGACAAAUGAUCAUCUCAAUGACCCUCAUGGUAGCAGGUCUCUUGAACUCUAAGUUUCCAGCUUCUCAGUUUGGAACUCCCACUUCAGAACUUGGUAUCUUUGGAAUCUGACACCACUGAGAAACCCCGGCUCCUGGUCUACAAGCCUACAAUGGUUUACACUCUUGUUUUAGACAGUGAUUUAGAAUCAACUCAGGGAUAUGGAAAAUAAAUUGCUUAAUGAUCAGUUUUCUGAAAAUAAAACAAAUAAAAUCAACCCAUAACACAUUUUUAA